GCCAGGUGUGGUGGCUCACACCUGUAAUCCCAGCUACUCCGGAGGUCGAGGCAGGAGAAUUGCUUGAACCCGGGAGGCAGAGGUUGCAGUGAGCCGAGAUCACGCCACUGCACUCCAGCCUGGGCAACAGAGUGAGACUCUGUCUCUU
ensembl:misc_RNA Metazoa_SRP Metazoan signal recognition particle RNA